AGGGAUGGCCUUUUGGCUAAGAUCAAGUGUAGUAUCUGUUCUUAUCAGUUUAAUAUCUGAUAUGUGGGCCAUAGGCUCACAUGAUAUUAAAUUAAUUUCUUGUGGGGUAGGGGCCACCACAGUCGCUUGCUACUGGGUCCCUCAGGUGUUGCCCUUGUUUUGCACUAUAGCAUGGGCCUGGCGCACCCCUU